GACCAUCUCCUCGAUCAACGUAUUUUACAAUGAAGUGGAACGCAACAAAAAUGCAACAAACACGGCGAAAUAUGAACGCAAAAGGAGCACCCUCGAGGGAAGAAAGACUCAGUCAGAACCUGCGUAAAGAUGAAGAAAAAAAGAGCAGACCUGGCUAUCAAAAACAAGAGAAAAACAAGGGCAGCAGCCGAGAAGGACGGGGUGGGAGGAGUUGGAGUGGAUGAUCGAGAGAGAACCCGAGCCCGAGCACGAGCGAAAGCGAGAGUGAGACGGAGACAAAGACGGAGACGCAGGAGGCUGAAAAGCAACCGGAAGAGCGCCACUGUCACCAAAGGAGAGUGCUGAAAAGCAGAGGAG